rnacentral:lncRNA from 1 species
UUUAAAAAGGGAGUCCGUGCACAGCAAUUUGUUGGAAACAAAUUUUGUAUUAUCUUGUUUUAUCGAGGCUUAUCUGGGUUCCUGGCAUCUUCCCAAUUGUGUGUGUUUUGUUGGCCUUUGAAGCCUGCAAUUCCUUAUCCUGCCCUGUCCAGUUAAUUGCUGCAAUGUGGUUUGUGUGGAUUUUUAUUUACAGUUUGUAUGUACUUUGUUUUGGACUGAAUUUUCUCCUCUUAAAGACUGUUCUUGGGAGAGUUUUUUCUCCAGCCGAAGGUAACUAACUGGACACUGGUGGAAAAGUUGGAGGUAUUAAAGAGACUUUUCUUAUUUAUGUGACUGUGUUGCCUUUGUGCCACACCCUGGGUCAUCACACUAAGUCUGGAGUAAUGGAUAGAUGCAGUGGUGGGAUUCAGCCAGUUUGCACCGCUUCGGGAGAGCCGGUUGUUAACUUUCUGAGCAGUUUGGUGAACUGGUUGCUGGAAGAAAUCAUUAAGGCAGAGAACCAGUUGUUAAGUUAUUUGAACCCCACCACUGGAUAGGAGAAUACAACGACAAACAAGUUGGAGAGAGGAUUGAAGCAGAGGAUACAAUUCUUGUCUCCUUGUCCACAUUGCCUAGGUAUUGAGGCCAGUUCUGCAGCUCGUUUGAGCAGCAUCAGCCGGAAGAGCUAUGAACAGAUGAGUUCUGCCUUCAUUAGCAGCAUCAGCACCAACCAGGUUCUCCCCAGCACCAGCCUGCAAUAUAUGGCUGACUUCACUGUCCGAGCCCUCAGUGACCUGCUGUAUAUCAAGAUCACACAGGAGCAAUACCAGAACUGUUUAAUGACCUCCUUAAUAGACAGCAACUCUGGAGAAGCAGCUACUAAGACACCUGACCUCUUGAAUCCUCUCCCAGACAACUCUACCCAAUUUGAAUAUGGUCAAAAAGACAUCUGAAUCAGAAUGAAAACAUCAUUGAAACAAAUCACAAGGACCUGAUUCUAGAAAGCCUUCUGCUUGAACCCCAACAUUUGCCUUCCAGUUGCUAUCUGAGGUCCUUUAUGUCACAAGACAAUCCAUUGAUCAUCUUCAGGAUGACAAACUCCACAUUUGAGAAGUGAGGAAGCUCUUGUCUACUUACCUUUUUUUUUCUUCAAAAAUGCAUUCUACAUCUUUCUUUGUUUUUUGGUUGGUUUAGGGACUGCCACUAAUGCAAGUUGUUGUUUUCUAUAUCUCAGUGGGGGAGGAGAAAGAUUUCAUUGAUCCUGUGGGAAAACAAUCAUUGAUCCUCAAAAGGGAAAAGGUGAGAACUCUCUCCUCACAUGUUUGCAAUGAGAUUUGCUUCCUCACACUUCUUUCUGAAUUAACAAAACAAAACAGUCUUAUUUACAAAACAAACACAAGCAUUUGUUGAGCUUUAGGAAUUUUUGCCUAAACUCUGUUGAAAUGAGUACAACUUGGC